CACAUAGAGGUCCAGCAGAGGAAGACAUGGAUCUACUUCCAAAGUACAGGAAUGUUCCGUGGAUGACCAGGUGGAGACUGGUCCAUGGGGCCAUGAGCACAGGUGUAAGUUAUGUAUGCUGUAGAUCAAAGAGUACAUGCCUCACCUACGAGGUCAGCACAGACUUCCUGUCUCCAAGGCUGGGAUCUGAUUUCCAGGAGACCUAAGGCAUGUGUUUCCCCGGAGGAUUUGGAACAAGGCAAACGACUGGGGAGAAGGCCAGAAGAGGUUCUUGGGAGAGGUGGAACUCCAGGAGGCUUGACCCUGAUGUUGGAACACAGGUCAGGGGCUGCACAAACUAUCUCCAUAGCCACCCUGGUGCUCAGGUGCCUCUGAUGCCAAGCUGGUCCUCUUUGUGUCUACAUGUUCCAGUUUGUCCAGGCUGAUGGAGGGAACGUUGUCUGACAGAUGUGAACAACCUCAGGAACAAUCCAUUUCAACAAUCAUAUCAAACCGUUAUGUAAACAAAUAAAAAAUUUGCAUGAUGUUAUUGUCAUUAUUUUGGUGGGAGCACUGUACGUGCAUCUACAUAUGUAUUACAUAU